CUACGUGCCAGCAGCCGCGGUAAUACGGAAGGUCCAGGCGUUAUCCGGAUUUAUUGGGUUUAAAGGGAGCGUAGGCCGGAGAUUAAGUGUGUUGUGAAAUGUAGACGCUCAACGUCUGACUUGCAGCGCAUACUGGUUUCCUUGAGUACGCGCAACGUAUGCGGAAUUCAUGGUGUAGCGGUGAAAUGCUUAGAUAUCAUGAAGAACUCCGAUUGCGAAGGCAGCAUACGGGAGUGUAACUGACGCUUAAGCUCGAAGGUGCGGGUAUCGAACAGGAUUAGAUACCCUGGUAGUCCGCACAGUAAACGAUGGAUGCCCGCUGUUAGCGCCUGGCGUUAGCGGCUAAGCGAAAGCAUUAAGCAUCCCACCUGGGGAGUACGCCGGCAACGGUGAAACUCAAAGGAAUUGACGGGGGCCCGCACAAGCGGAGGAACAUGUGGUUUAAUUCGAUGAUACGCGAGGAACCUUACCCGGGCUUGAAUUGCAGAGGAAUUAUUUAGAGAUA
rnacentral:rRNA from 1 species